AAGUUUACUGCUUUUGUAAAAUAGCAAUGAUUAUAUCACCUAUCUCUACAUAACAGAGCUGGUGCUUCAAGGAUCAAAUGAGAUUAUGUAUGUGAAAUCACCUUGAAAAGGACCAUGAAUGUAAGACACAAUUGCAGCUGCUGUGAAGCAAAUUUUGGAACAAUGGAUUGAUUCGUUGUAUAAAAGGAAUUAGCCUUGAGAUAAAACCAAGAUUGUAAAAAACUCUCCUGAAGAAAAUGCUGAGCAGCUACUUGUAAGUAGAACCAAAUCCUUCCAAGGAAGAUUUGGGAGAUAGUCAUAAGCUGGUAAAUACCUGGAGAUAAUCAUAAGCUGGGGUCAUGAUCUUUCCUUCCAUAAAGAAGGAUCAGGCCAAGAUGCAGAGACAAGGGACCUAUGCUGUGAACUAUUUCACAAGAAAGGAAUGGAGGCAUUGUAUGGGCCACUCCUUGAGGGAAACAAGCAUGAGGCAGGUCAGGAAAAGAAGGAAAGAGGCAGAACUUCCAAAGAACAGAUUUGUCAAGAAGAGGUAGGCACCUCAAAUAAAACUGCUCAGCAAUGGAAUGCUACCGUGUAAUAAAAAAGAAUGAACCACUGAUACACUCAACGACAUGAAUAACUCUCAAACUAUGCUGAAUGAAAAAAGCUGGACACAAAUGAAUACAUUCUGUAUGAUUCCAUUGGCAGAAAACUAGAAAAUGAAAACUAACCUGUAGUGACAAAAAACAGGUCAGUGGUUUUCCUUAUUACAAAGGUCCAUGAGGAAACUUUGGGAGGAAGAUGAAUAUGUUCAUUAUCUUGGUUGUAGUGAUAGUUUCAUGGGUGUGUACGUAUGUCUUGUAAGAUUGUGCACUUUAAAUACGGGAAGUUUAUUGUAGGUCAGUUGUAUUGCUCUAUGCAUGUUAUAUUCCUCUAUAUACAUAUUAUUUCCAGAAAAACAUAAUUUCCAGAAAAAACUGCUGAGCAACAUAGCACAUAAACAGGCAAUGGGC
rnacentral:lncRNA from 1 species